CGGAGGGUGCGAGCGUUGUCCGGAUUUAUUGGGUUUAAAGGGUGCGUAGGCGGCCCGUUAAGUCCGGGGUGAAAGCCCGCUGCUCAACAGCGGAACUGCCCUGGAUACUGACGGGCUUGAGUACAGACGAGGUUGGCGGAAUGGACUGAGUAGCGGUGAAAUGCAUAGAUACAGUCCAGAAUCCCGAUUGCGAAGGCAGCUGACUAGGCUGUACUGACGCUGAGCACGAAAGCGUGGGGGAGCGAACAGGAUU
rnacentral:rRNA from 1 species